rnacentral:tRNA from 1 species
GGCGCGUUGGUCCAGCGGUACGGAUGCCCGGUUCUCGUCCGGGGGACGCGGGUUCGACUCCCGCACGCGCUG